rnacentral:lncRNA from 1 species
GAGGUUGAAUAAAAGGGCUAAAUCGACAGCUUUGGCCGAACCUAAACCCUAACAUCAUUUCUUUUCUCUCCGGCAGCCCCUAAGCCUCUCCUCUCCAAUGCCAAGCCGCAACCAUGUCGAUGGCCGGCAUCCUCAGGCUACAUGCGAACACUUUGUGGCCUUGAGGUUCCCCUUAAGUCUCCGAUUUCGGCGAAGCAAAGAAGAACCGAUGGCUUAUUUUCCAGGUAAGGUUUCGUCUCCUUUUUCUUUUAUUUAGAUGUAAAGAACGAAAAAGAAAAUCAAAAAGGGAAAUCGAGAGAGAAAAUAGCGUAAUAAACCCCGGAGAUUCAAAAGCAGAAGAUCACCUUGUUCUAUUUUUUGCUUUCUAUUCCUUCUGAAUGUGUGUGUAUUCUCUGUGAACGUACCCUUUACAACGAUUACAGAUCCUGGCUUUAUAGCCGAAAAAAGAAAGAGAAAAUAAAUAAAAAGAAUUCGACAUUUGUUCUUUGUUUUUUUCUGCUCUAUGCUGUUGUUGCGUUUGUACCUUUCUUCGCAGGUACAGGUGUGCGCUCGGGUACGGGGCCGUGUGCUGGCGCGGGCGUGACUGCUGGACGGUACGGAGGCCAAGGCUGAAGCUUGGCUGGUUGCGGUGCAAAGGGGAACCUUAGGGUUCCUGAGGAUUGCUUGACCUUUGGGCCAAUCGGGCUGUAUUUUGGGUCUAGGUUAAUGGGCCAUUGUAUUUGGUUUUGGGUCUAAACAAUGGGUUUGGGCUAUUGUUAUAAUUUCAGACUAAUGGACUUUUAAUAAUAUUUGUUGGUUUUUUAAUAUAUAUAUUUAUUUAUUUAUUGUUGUAUAUUUGGGUUUCUAGUGGGUCCAGGCAAAUUUUCCCAUUUACAAUUAUCAAAAAGGAAAAAUAAAAUUAUCAAAGAUUACCCUAAAA